ensembl:lncRNA novel transcript
GACGUCACCGGACGCGCCCGCUUCUCGCUGGAGUGCGCACCGAGCGGCAGUGACUUCGCCGCUGCUGUAGUUCCCCGGCUGGAUGCGGUGACUGGUGCCAGUGCUCAGGCGCCCGCUGCCCUUGACCUCCCGCCCCGCGAGCCCUAACUCAGCGCAGGAGGACCGGCUGCCGCCGCCGCCGCCGCCAGAUCCACACAACUUAAAGAUCUGCUGUCGAGUGAAUGGGGAAGUGGUCCAGAGCAGCAACACCAACCAGAUGGUAUUCAAGACAGAGGACCUGAUAGCCUGGGUGUCCCAGUGAGUGACAGGGGCUAUCCUGCCAGCCCCGCUCCACCUGCCACACAUGUGGAGGCUGACCUGAGCCCUCCACCUUUGGCUGUGGCCACCUCAGCCAGCCCCUGGUCUCACCGGGUCCUUUUGCUUUGCUCCAGGUUUGUUACCUUUUACCCAGGGGAUGUCAUCCUGACUGGGACCCCCCCACCUCCACCCAGGUGUCGGUGUAUUCAGGAAACCUCCUGUCUUUCUCAAGGUCUCUGAAGGUCCAGACAGCACUGAUGGCGAGCUUUGGGUCCGCACACUCUGGAAAGAAGAGAGAAGUGAAGGCUCUAGGUAGGGAGAACAGAGAGCCACUGGGCACAGGCUUCUCUCCUCUUGUUUAAAGAAGCCCAGGGAGGGAUAGAGCUCUGACUGGACAGAAGACUGUACUCUGCAGCCUGCCUUCCUAGAGUUGGGUUGUCACUGUCCUGCAGGGGGCAGCAGCCACCAGCAAACACCACUGCCUGCAGGAGCCUGGGCUGACUGGUUGGGACUCACCGAAGAUCCCUUCUUCCUGGGCGGUGGCCUGCAGGAACUGGAACAGCUGCUCUGUGUAGCCCAACUCUGCAGAAGAGAGAAGACCUAGACCUGGCACCCAGCACAGACACAGCCUGCCUCGAGGACUGCAAGGGAACAAGGGCCUCACCAGUAUCGGGCAGCUGGCCCUGGCGGAGGAAGGCGGCAGCCUGUGCAAAGGCCUUGAGCAGCGGGCUGAGCAGGCGGCAGAGGAAAAGAAAGAAAUCUGGGCAGUGUGACUGCUGGCUGAGCUGGAGGGGACAGGCCGGGGUGAGUGCAGCUCCCCACCGCCUCCCUACCACCUCCCUCCAGGGGCAGCUUUUUGAAACACACCCUGAAGUACCGGCCGUCAGCCUCUCCGAAGUCAUCACUGUCACUAUCAGUAAAGUCCCCACUCGGUUUCCACAGCAG